rnacentral:rRNA from 1 species
AUCGAUGAAGAACGCAGCGAAAUGCGAUAAGUAAUGUGAAUUGCAGAAUUCAGUGAAUCAUCGAAUCUUUGAACGCACAUUGCGCCCGCCAGUAUUCUGGCGGGCAUGCCUGUCCGAGCGUCAUUUCAACCCUCGAACCCCUCCGGGGGUACGGCGUUGGGGAUCGGCCCUUUACGGGGCCGGCCCCGAAAUACAGUGGCGGUCUCGCCGCAGCCUCUCCUGCGCAGUAGUUUGCACACUCGCAUCGGGAGCGCGGCGCGUCCACGUCCGUAAAACACCCAACUUCUGAAAUGUUGACCUCGGAUCAGGUAGGAAUACCCGCUGAACUUAAGCAUAUCAAUAA